AUUGAACGCUGGCGGCAGGCCUAACACAUGCAAGUCGAGCGAGCGGCGGACGGGUGAGUAAUGUGUGGGAACCUGCCUGAUGGAGGGGGCUAAAUACUGGAAACGGUAGCUAAUACCGCAUACCAUCAGAUGUGCCCAGAUGGGAUGAGCUAGUAGGUGGGGUAACGGCUCACCUAGCAGACCAUCCCUAGCUGGUCUGAGAGGAUGACCAGCCACACGGGAACUGAGACACGGUCCAGACUCCUACGGGAGGCAGCAGUGGGGAAUAUUGCACAAUGGGCGCAAGCCUGAUGCAGCCAUGCCGCGUGUGUGAAGAAGGCCUUCGGGUUGUAAAGCACUUUCAGCGGGGAGGCGUUACCCGCAGAAGAAGCACCGGCUAACUCCGUGCCAGCAGCCGCGGUAAUUC
rnacentral:rRNA from 1 species